GUGCAGCCAAGGAUGACUUGCCGAUUUAAGUGAUCUUUCUUUAUACUCUAUUAAGACAUUUUUAGUAUCAAAAUUCUUUGGUUCUUGAAGAAGUCAGGAAGAAAUUAUAAUUGAUAUAUAGUGUUCCUUAUUAUAUACAAUUAUAACCAAAAAGAAAAAAAGUAACAUGAUCGGCAAGUUGUCCUUGGCUACAC
rnacentral:pre_miRNA from 1 species